GCUGAGGGGGGUGAGGGUAUGGGGGGAUGAGCUCCUGGGGGGGUUGAAGGUGAGGGUAAGUUGGGGGGAGAGCUUCUGGGGGGGCUGAGGGGGUGGGAAGGGGUCAGGGAUGGGCUUCUGGGGGGGCUGGAGGUGUGGGUAAGUGCGUGGGGGAGUUUCUGGGGGGGGCUGAAGGUGAGGGUAGGGGUCGGGGAUGAGCUCCUGGGGGUCUGAGGGGGUGGGAAGGGGCUGGAGAUGAGCUCCUGGGGGGAUUAGGGAUGUGGGUAGGGGUCGGGGAUGAGCCCCUUGGGGGGGGGUCCCAGGGUUGGGAAGUGGCUGAGCCCCCGGGGGGUCGGGGGUCCAGCCCUUGGGGUGAUCGGGGCUGUGCCCCCAGUGCAGGGGUAGGUGAUGGGGUUGGCACCAAGUCCUUGGAGGGGACUACGGGGUAGAGGACUGGUGUAAAACAGGCCAGGAACGGGCAAAAUCCCCCACGAGGCCAAUUUCUGCAGGGCUCCGCCUGCCCCCCAUCACUCCUACCUGCCCCCCAUCAUCACCCCCACAGCACCCCACUGCUCCUACAGCACCCCACAAGCCCACCAUGGGGUGAUGCCACUGCCGAGCCCCCGGGGAAGGUUCCCAGCCCCCCUUGUACCCGCGGCAGAGCCCUGGGGCGAGCUUUGGGUGAAGCCCCCAGCGCCUCUUCCAGGAAGAGCGGCGGCCCCCUCCAGCUGCCUCGCGCAUACCGCAGCUCGCAGGAUACAUGUGAUGAUGAAUAAGCACGAAACCACGGCCGUCUGCUUUCGGGCCCCUUUUUUUGCUACUCGAGCUGAGCGUAGGAGAAGCGCAGGAAAGUAUCAAGAUGACAGGAGGGGUGGGAAAGGCGCUCGGUGCCCGGCACAGGCACCCGCUCCGGCGCGUUUUGGCGACGGGCUGGAUUUUUUCGGGUCGCAUCCAAGCCCCCCUCCGGCAGGGAGGGCGCUGAGGGAGAAAUUUCGGGGAGAAAUGAAGAUUUGUGCUGUUUUGUGCCGAAAUCCCACCCGGGGAGCUGCAGCCAUCCAUGCAGGAGCUUCUCCAGGUGAGCCCCGUGCGCUUCGUGCGCUGGCAGCCCGGGGAUGCCCUCGGAAGGGCACGUCACCGCGGGGCGCACGCUGCUGGGGUGGAAAAGAGGCCAAAGUGUCACCGCUGGGGAGUUCCUCGCCAGGCUGGGCAACGCCAGAAGGCCAAAUUCAGCAGAAAUUUGUCGCCCCGGGGAGAGGAGGAGGAACCUCGACAAUAUGCAGCCCUUUUUUGGAGCGGGUGCCGUCCCCGGGUGCACCGGCACCGGAGAGCUGGCUGGGAACCCUGAAGGACGCGGGGAUGCUCGGUCCUGUCCCCAAAACACCCAAAGUGGCAGGGUGA
rnacentral:lncRNA from 1 species